UCCGAAGAACAGACGAACAUUAAACAAUGGCAAGCCUGAUGGAGUUUGUGGCCUCCACAGAGCUGGAGGUGGAGGUCGUGAGGCAGCAGCUCCAGCUCCUGAGUGUUUCUAGUUGAAGAUUGAUGGAUGGUUUUAAGGAUAGAUAGAUGAAUAGAUAGAACCAUAUCUUAAACAAACCACAAGUGACCCGCAUGGACCUGUACACCAGCAGCAGACCACAGGGAGAUCCAUGUUGAGGUCCUCCAGGCCCUCAGAGACUUCACAGAGAACAACAGAGGAUGAGGAGGAGGCAGAGGAAGGUGAGAUGGUGCAGGUUUGUUUUAAUAAGUUGUAAAUGUGUUUAUCACUGUGUUCCUUUUUAAUUAUUGCUGUUAAAAAGCUGAAUAAAACCAUGUGCAGUUUUAAUCGAUACCAUUUCAUCACAAUAUUUAUAAUUUACACAACAUUUAAAAAAGGCUUUAAUACAUAAAUGCUUAUCUUGGUUCCUUAAAAUGACAGUAGAGGAAUUUAUGAGCACUGUUACUCAUGAUUAACCCUUGUGUACUCCAAAAAAAAAAAGUGUAACACCCCGUCCUCCUCAGGGGUCAAAAAGGACCCCAUGACAUCAGACUGGUUUUAAGACAUAUAGGGAAAAAAAUAUCAACAGCUAUAUUUUUUUCACCUUGAACUAUAAUUUAAUUUUUUUUUCAUUAUAAAUGGUCAAUUUUAGUCAACUAUACAAAAUUAGGCCUCAUAUCAAGAGGGAAAAAAAGUAAUGACAUUUUCAAUAGUUAUAGUGAAAUAAUUUAUUGAUGGGAAUGUACAGAGUAGGUUAUGUCAACUUUUAGUGAAACUUAUGUUCUGGAAGAAUUGUUCAUUUUUGGGUGUCAGCAAAAAUGAAAAAAAAGUAUAACACCCAUCCUCCUCGGGUCAAAAAGGACCCCAUGACAUGGUUUUAGGACAUGUAGAAAAAAAUUAUUACCA